UACGUAGGGUGCGAGCGUUGUCCGGCAUUAUUGGGCGUAAAGAGCUCGUAGGCGGUGUGUCACGUCGGCCGUGAAAACCUGGGGCUUAACUCUGGGCGUGCGGUCGAUACGGGCAUCACUAGAGUUCGGCAGGGGAGACUGGAAUUCCUGGUGUAGCGGUGAAAUGCGCAGAUAUCAGGAGGAACACCGGUGGCGAAGGCGGGUCUCUGGGCCGAUACUGACGCUGAGGAGCGAAAGCAUGGGUAGCGAACAGG
rnacentral:rRNA from 1 species